ensembl:lncRNA
AUGAAAAAUUUGUCAUCAUUUACUCACCCUCAAGAUGUUCCAAACCUUUAUGAGUUUCACCUCCAUGUUAACAAAAGGCAAUUAAACGCUGGCUGCUCACAUCUAUUGAUCAUAUCUAACACAAUUCACUUGCUCUGCCAAUGUAGAACAACAGGAGCCACAUUCAGCCAUGAAUCCCCUGCCUCCAUUCACCCUCGGCAAGACAGACGCCCAUCUAAAGAUCCAUAUCUGCUGCUCAUUUAACGUUUGUUCUUGUGAAUCUCAUAAAACAUCACAUUUCACCCCCCAAAACAAAAGUAAAAUAUAUAUAUCUCUAUUUUGCAUAAAGAAAAUUAAGCCAUUUAGAACCAUUAAGACGUUUUGCUUUGUGCCAUUACUUUUAUGACAGUUAAGCACAUUUGUCCUUGUACAGCCAUUACUAAUGUGUCUGGAUGUUUUUCUUUUAAGGCUUUUCUUGUCAUUUUUUUUAUGCUUAAUGGAGACUUUCAUGACAGAAAUACAUUCAUUUAAAAAAAAGUUGAAUAUUACACAAAACAAUGCUGACAAGAAAAAUUAACUGAAUUAAAUUAAAGGAAGUACAAACAGUCAUAUGUAAACAAUAUAUAAUGUAAUAAUGGAAGUAUUUAAAAAAAUAAAUUUGCAUAAAUUAAUUAAAUGCUAUUCAAAAUGUAGAGAGGGAGACUCUAGUAGAUAGGUUUUUUAUUUUUUAUUUUGGGGAGACAUGUUUUCUGAGAUAUUCCUGCCAUGUGUGCUUCCCAAAAAGAGUUCUGUGCCAUUAAAGGUGACCCUUUUCUCAGUAACCUUCCAAAUGCUGUGCAAACAGUGAAUUUCUAUCCUGACUUUUAAAAGCUUUUAAAAGGUCUGAAGAUGAAAUAAGACUCUGUGUGAGAGAGGAAUCCCGAUUACAGACAGAUACCGCAGUGACUGCAGACGAAAACACGAAAGGUCAGUGAUUGCAACAGUUUGGAACAAAAGCAAUGACCUUGACCUGAUAGUUUGUGUGUGUGUGUGUGUGUGUGUGUGUGUGUGUGUGUGUGUGUGUGUGUGAGAGAGAGAGAGACAGAGAGAGAGAGCAGCAGCAGGAACAUGAUGCAGUACACAACCUCUCCUCUACUGCAUGGUGUGACCUGUUCCUCAGUUAAAAAGGGCAAGGUGUAGAUUGAUUCUCUCCACCUGCUGACCUUUAGGACCAGAUCUGAUAUGGACUGCUGAUUAGACAAACAAACAGAAGGAGAGAGAGAAAAGAAAGAGUGUGUGUGUGUGUGUGUGUGUGUGUGUGUGUGUGUGUGUGUGUGUGUGUGUGUGUGUGUGUGUGUGUGUGUGUGUGUAGGGUAUCAACAAAAGAAGCAACAAAGGGUGAAGCUGGUGAGAGCUGGUUUUAUGGUUUUAGCUGGUUUCGACCAGGUGGUCUAACAGCUAAGAAAGGCCCAAGCCCUUUUAAAAACCAAUAAAUCAGGCCAAUCUUCAUUCAUUAUUUUGAGUCAUUUCUAUUCAAGGAAUAAUUUAAAACCAUUCACAAAACCUGUAUCAGUGGUCCCUAUGAUCAACUUUGGAUUAUGAUGCUUUUUGGGAAACACAGCCCUGAACAAUUGGUUCACAAAACAAACAGUCCAUAUGGUUCUCACUCAGUGAACCCAAAACAGUUUCUUUCUAACAUACAUGAUUCGUAAUGAGAAGAGGCUUUGUCUGAUGAGGCGCAACAGAUGUUAUGUUAUCGCUGAUAUUACAAAUAAAAUAUACUGCAAAAUGAUAAAAAAACUGUACAAUGAUGCGAAAGACAGCUGAUCAGGAAAAACAUAUGAAUAACAAUCAAAACAGAUUUUGCACCUGAAUUACCCACCAGAAUUGAUAAAGAACAUCUAUCUGUCCUGGUUGCUUUCAGAGAGCUGGUCUAAUAGCACUUUUGAGAAAACAGGUUUGGCGUUCCUCCCCUCUAUCCAUCUUGGCUGGACAGGUGAGGUGCAGAUCUGUAUUAUUCAGAGAGACAGAAUAACAAAAUUGUAUAAAGACUUAACAGGUAACAUCCAGCUUUAUGGAGAAUUGAUUCUGGCUUAGAAAAGAGCAUUUAAACCAAGUCUAAAUUAAUCAAACUAAAGCAUUUUUCUGCAACACAGUCAUUAACAAACUCCAUCAGU